rnacentral:rRNA from 1 species
AUGGAGCCAUUUGUUGGGAUGAGAUUUGACACUCUGCAAGGUGCUAAGGAUCACUACAAUGAUUAUGCCCUAAAAAUCGGUUUCUCUAUUAAGAUGAACACUUCAAGGAGGAAUUCUUAUACCAACAUAUUGGAGAAACAACAAUUUGCAUGUAACAAGUUUAGGAAGCCAAAAGAGGAUGAUGCAGGAGCUGAAUUGCCACCUGUGCUAGAUCCUAUACCAGGUCCCAAACCUUUGGAUGAAGAAGAAGAAAUGGAAGAAGUGCCAAUAUUCAAUGGAGAGGAUAGUGGAAAAAAGAAGAAUAAGAAGAAGCACAAGAGAGAAAGGAUAAAGCAAACACAAUGUAAGGCAAAAAUGCUAGUUAAAUUGAAGGAUGGGCGGCGGGAAGUAACCCACUUUGUCCGUGAUCAUAAUCAUCCUUUGGUCCCCAAGCCUUCGCUCUCCAAAUACUUGCGAUAUUGCAUGGGUAUACCGCCGGAGGAAAAUAAGUUCCUAUAG